UACGUAGGAGACAAACGUUAUCCGGAGUUACUGGGCGUAAAGGGCGUGUAGGCGGUUUGUUAAGUCUGGCGUGAAAGCUCUCGGCUAAACCGGGAGAGUGCGUUGGAUACUGGCGAACUAGAGGAUGGUAGAGGCGUGUGGAAUUCCGGGUGUAGUGGUGAAAUGCGUAGAGAUCCGGAGGAACACCAGUGGCGAAGGCGACACGCUGGGCCAUACCUGACGCUAAAGCGCGACAGCAUGGGGAGCAAACAGG
rnacentral:rRNA from 1 species